GGCAUUUUGCGCCGCGCCGACAACCGGACUGCCGGACAGCCGAACACGAGCUGCAGCAAGCCGCACUUCGCCAUUGCCGCCAUGAAGACCCUCCUGCUCCUGCUGGCCGUCGUCGUCUCGGCCAUCAUCUGCGCGCCCGCCCCCGACGCGUCUGACUCGAACCGCGCUCCGGCCGCGC